GGCAAAAGGCUGCUCCGGAAGUGUUGCUCUGAUUGCUUUUCCUUUUCUCUGGUCUCCAGCUGCAGCCUCGCCAUCUGCUCAUGCUACAAAUGAACAACAAGUUUGGAAAGAAGAUAUGGAACAUCACACUUUCAGAAAAUAGAAGGUUCUUCAGCUGAAACAUGCUUCCCUUGAAACACCAGGGAAUUUGAAGAGAUUGAUCACACCUCUUUCUCUACCGUCAUUUCGCUAGGCCAAACACCUGAUCACCUUUAGUCUGGUUUCAUAACACACUGCGCCCCACUCCGCUCCCAUGGUUACCAGUAUUCAGUAACAUUGCUCCCCCUCAACUCUGCUGCACAAAUGCCAAAGUCAAUUUAGCAGUCAGACUCCAGGAUAAUCCCACGCUGCCAGUGCACUGGGACACAUUCCACCCACCAAUAGCUCAGUUCCCCUCAAGACACCCUUUUUAAAACCCUUUGACUUUUCCUUACUUACUCAAUGGCAUGAAAAAUGGCCAGCACAAGCACCAAUCAAUCACCACAUCACCUCUGACCCUACCAUCAGUCAACCAGGAUUUAACUGGUCACGCCGUUAUUGGGCACUUCUCAACCAUUUUCGAACUGGACAGGGUCACUGUGCCUCAAACCUGUGCCAAUGGGGCCUUCGCAAUGACAACAAAUGCCCUCGCAGACAAAUGCAAGCCAUGUCCCAUAUUGCUGACUUGUGUCCAUUUACAAUGCUACCUUAGGAAAAACUCUCUCGUAAGGAGGGUAGUAAAACACUGGAACAGGUUACCCAGAGAGGUGGUGGAACCUCCAUCCUUGGGGGUUUUUAGGACCCGACUAGACAAAGCCUCGGCUGGGAUGAUCUACUUGGGGAUGGGGAAUGGACCAGAUGACCUCCUGAAGUCCCUUCCAACCUUAAUUUUCUAUGAUUCCCCCUAGAGCAAUAAAUAACACGAGCUAAAUGCUAUAAUGUAACCUUUUUUUAUUUAUUCAUAAUUAAGAAGCAUGUGCCCUCCUUUCUGCUCUAGUACACAGACAAUAGAUUAAAUGAACAGCAGCCAAUGAUUAUAUUGUACAGUAAACAGAAAUCAUAGGCCUCUCCAUUCAAGCAUCAGCUAUUACAAUUUUCCUCAAAGGUGAGCAUGCCAAGGCAAAUGCUGUUAAGGCUCUUUAAUGUUCCUUUAUGGCACAUACAAACAACCUCUAUAUCCCCCUCACCUCCAAAUAUUUUCUUUGCUUGUUUUUCACAUGGAAACAUCAACCAUAACAGCCUUUUUGCCAGAAACCCUUUAAAAGACCUUUAAGGGACAUGGAAGAUCUCACACAGCUUAAAUGGCAGUUCAUCCAACUUCCAACUGAGAGGGAGGGGGCAAUAAGUCCUCAGUUAAACCCUUUCACUCUUAAGUUAAGUGACACUCCUUUUUUUUUUUUUUUUUUCUCUUUUAUUGAUUAUUACUCUCUUUUCUGCUCAUCACCCUUCCUCUUCCCAGUCCAGCUAAAUUCUUUGGUUUCAGUCCUAAACGCUCCGAUCAUUCCCGACCUCAAUCCCUUCAUACUUAACUUCAGUACAGGUACACCCCUGGGAAAAAUGUUUUGGACCCACUCCCAUCCAUGCACUUCAACCAGGGUGCAGGCCCACUGAAAUAAAAUAAAUUACUAGCAUACAUUAAGAGCCCUUCACAUACUCAAACUCAAGUGUUUUGCUGCAUCAGGCCAUAGCUGCAUUAGCCUUUUUUAUUAUAACAUUUACAAAAAGCAUCGUAUUACUGUUCUUAAAAAUGGUCUUUAACAA